CAUCAGGUGCUCGGGUGUGAGAUCGUGGAUCCAACAUGUGGUGCCUUCGACCACCUAGUUUUUGUCUUGCCUUGCAGAUGUCGCCGAGGUUUGGAGCUCACUCUAGGCUAAUCCUCUGUUGUGUUCUUGGAGCUGAACAGGUAGCUGCUGCUGGAGCCGAAGCCAUGGGAUGUUCUGGAGUCUGCCGUCACGCCGGCGAAGACGACGCCCGAUGUUUCUUCUUUAAGAUCGGCGCUCAAGUGACUGGUCGUGCGUGGCAACCUGUGUAUGCAUUUGAAAAUCGUGACCGAGUGUCGGUGCUGCAAACCUGCAAUACACAUGGUUUCUGUAUGAUGUGGUUGUAACAAUUCGUUGUAAUUGUCAGUUUUUUUAUUUAUGGAGCAACUCCGUUUUGAUUGUUGUACCAUUGGCUAUGUCUUUCAAUAUUCGUUUGUAUUUUGUUAUAGUAACAGAGAAAUUACGGCAUACGAUUGUUAAAUGAUUUCCUUUGAUACUUGUCUUUGAACCCCUUACAUUGGAGUAUAAAUUUUGAACACUUCAAUGCCGGUAUUUUGCAUUUUAAGAUUUUUUUUCUAUCAACUAAGCUUAGAUGAGUAAUAGAUGUAUUAGAUUUGUGGUGUAAUGGUUAAGGAGAGAACUCCUAUCUUCUAUUGUGCAUAAUGAAGUUGUGAGCUAGUUUGAU
rnacentral:lncRNA from 1 species